AUUGAACGCUGGCGGCAGGCCUAACACAUGCAAGUCGAACGAGUGGCGGACGGGUGAGUAAUGUCUGGGCACCUGCCCGAUGGAGGGGGAUAACUACUGGAAACGUUCGCUAAUCCCGCAUACCAUCGGAUUAGCCCAGAUGGGAUUAGCUAGUAGGUGGGGUAACGGCUCACCUAGGCGAAGAUCCCUAGCUGGUCUGAGAGGAUGACCAGCCACACUGGAACUGAGACACGGCCCAGACUCCUACGGGAGGCGGCAGUGGGGAAUAUUGCACAAUGGGCGCAAGCCUGAUGCAGCCAUGCCGCGUGUAUGAAGAAGGCCUUCGGGUUGUAAAGUACUUUCAGCGAGGAGGCGUUACCCGCAGAAGAAGCACCGGCUAACUCCGUGCCAGCAGCCGCGGUAAUAC
rnacentral:rRNA from 1 species